rfam:Eimeria necatrix Houghton genomic scaffold, Enh_scaff1083
GCGUUGAUAGCUCAGUUGGGAGAGCGUUAGACUGAAGAUCUAAAGGUCCCUGGUUCGAUCCCGGGUCGACGCG